rnacentral:rRNA from 1 species
GAUGAACGCUGGCGGCGUGCCUAAUACAUGCAAGUCGAGCGAACAGACGAGGAGCUUGCUCCUCUGACGUUAGCGGCGGACGGGUGAGUAACACGUGGAUAACCUCCCUAUAAGACUGGGAUAACUUCGGGACACCGGAGCUAAUCCCGGAUAAUCUAUUGCACCGCAUGGUUCAAUAGUGAAAGACGGUUUUGCUGUCACUUCUAGAUGGUUCUGCGCCGCAUUAGCUAGUUGGUACGGUAAUGGCUUAUCAAGGCAACGAUGCGUAGCCGACCUGAGAGGGUGGUCGGCCGCACGGGAACGGAGACGCGGUCCAGGCGCCUACGGGAGGCAGCAGUAGGGAAUGUGCCGCAGUGGGCGAAAGCCUGGCGGAGCAGCGCCGCGUGAGUGGUGAAGGUCUUCGGAUCGUGAAACUCUGUUAUUGGGGAAGAACAAAUGUGUAAGUAACUAUGCACGUCUUGACGGUACCUAAUCAGAAAGCCACGGCUAACUACGUG